rnacentral:lncRNA from 1 species
AGAAGCCCCAGGAGAAAGUCCAGAGUCACCCGAGGGUGCGGCCCCAGGGAGCUUCACGCAGCCAGCUCUGCAGCCAGCACCUAAGGAGGUGCCCGCGGGAGGAGGAGGGGGCGUGUGGGAUGCUCUGGCCGGGUGGGCUGCCUGGGAAGGGGUGGCUGACCGAGUUUGUCACUGAUGGAGACAUGGAAGUGUCCGCCAUGCACAGAUGGAGACUUGGCCAUCACUCCAUAGGGGAACACUUGAGCAGCAGGGACGACGGCCCCAGGCUGUGGAGUGGCUUCCCUGCCUUGCCGCCUGCUCCCUGUGCCCUUGCGGCUCCCACUGAGUGGGUAGAGACCGCUCGCCAGCCUUGCAGUCUAGGCUGGCCUUGGCUUGGACCCUUGGGAGACCUUCCAGCUUCCACUCUGUCUUGGAAGGAACCCUGACAGCCCUCUGAGAACAAGCCCGGGCCAGACUGCUGGGGGAUGUGUUGUCAUCGGGCAGCCAACCUCCAGCCUCCAGAACAGGCCCAUCGGAGAUCAGCACAGCCUGGAUCAGGCCAGCAGCACUGCCUGGGUGGCCCCGGCUCGUGAGCAAGUGUAGAUGCUUAUUGCUUUUGUCCACCGCGUCUCCAGGCUGCUGGGUUUGCAGCAGCAGCUGACCCAUCCACCACGGCCACCACGAGAGGUCACACAGGUACCACUUGAAGCUGCGACACUUCAGCCUCUGACGCAGGGCCAGCCUCUCAGACACGUCCCCGAAGUCCACCCCUGGGUUCUGCAAGGCCAGAAGUAGGUGAGAGGAGGGUCUGAGGCAGCUGCUCCUGAUGGGAAGGACCCUGCCAGAGGCCAGCCCCGGCCUGGACAGACGGCCCCUGCUGCAGCCGGCUCGUCCACACCCACCCGGGCCCAGGAACCUCCUGCCUGAGAAGACGGCCCUGCUCACCUGGCCUUACUGCACGGCAUCAGCCUGACCUCUGGAGGGUGGAGACUGAGGUCAGCCAUAUCCAGAGACCAGCCUGGCCUGAGUAGGACAGAAAGGCCGAGGCAGGGAGUGUUCACACACUCUGCUCGAUUCGGGCUGGGACGUGGGUCCUCCCCUGCCUUCAGGCUUGGAGCUCACGCCACCGGCUCUCCUGGGCGCCUGCCAGCCGACGGCCAAUCUCGGUACCCUCAGCCCCCGUAACCGGGUGAGUCAAUUCCUUAGAUGAACUUUCACAGCUAAGCCCACGUCCCCACCAUCUGCUAUUAAUCUGUUUCCCUGGAGAGCCCUGAGCCAGCCCCGUCCCAUCCUAUCCUACCCUAUCCUGUGCUGUCCCAUCCCAUCCACCCCAUUAAAAAAAGGCCGAUGCCACCCACGGGCUGACAUCACUAUGAACAAAUGGGUCUGAUCCACGUGGCCCAAGCUCCGCCGUGCUCAGGUCCUCAGCCCUGAGCCUGCCAUGCUGGACGAGUGUGCCAGGCCCAGGGCGGGCACUGUGCUUGCCUCAUCUCCUGAAUCCCCCCACCACCCGAGAAAGGGUGGGCAGCCCUGGCAUUGCCCCGUUCCCUCCGCGGUGCUGAGAAGGUGCCGAGGCCGAGGGUGGUGCCAACUGCAGGGGCGCACGGGGUGGAGCCUCUGCCCAGCUGAGCUCGGAUCCCUCAGUCAUCCCUGGACUCUGGUUCAUCCUCGUCCAGGCUGCUCUCAUCUCCAGGCCGUUAUCUUAAUCAUGUCUGCAAAGAUCCCUUUUCCCAAAGAGGGCCACACUCACACGUCCCCUAGCUGCAUCCUCCGGGGGUCGCCUGUCAGCCCAGCCCACCCCAGAGGCCCAGUCCCUUGUGUGGGGGAGCAGGGGGCUCCUCCCUCCCCCGGACUCUCUGCCUUCAGGAAGCCGAGUCCCAGGGAGAGAGAGAACCGGGAGGCCGUAUCGCCGAU